AGUGACGAAUAGCCUCUCGUUAUCCUACAACCACCCAAGAUUCCCGGAUUUUAGUUUGCAGUUUGGCAUCCGCGAAUCGUUGCCGCGUUCGCGGAUCGGGCUCCAUCUUCUUCUUUCGUUCGAACGUCUAUCCGCUCGACACGAUUUCCUUUGAGCGGAGUUAAGUAAGAGUCCGAUUUUGAAAUCGAGUGGCCACGGGCCGUAAUUCGAACAAUAGCUGCGGCCAACUCCCAUUCGUCGAUUCUCCGUCCGUUGCGUUAUCGUAUUUUUGUGAAUAGAGCGGUUGGGAAAUUUCGAUUCCGUUGAAAUCCUUGAAGAAAUUGCAACUCGGAAUCAGGUGACGAUUGUAUAGCAAAACAAUAAACUGUGUAUCAUUUAUCCGUGGAUAAUUUGAAGUAAAGAUGGAGGAGGAUAUAAGUUCAAUCGAGGAACAGAAUAAAUCGUGUCCAACUAAUAAAAUAUCUCAUAAGUCAAAUAUUCGAAAAUUUUUUAGAGAUGUUUGGCGUAAAAUUAAAGUUGAAGUUAAGGGGAAGAACGUAAACGUUUAAACGAGUAUGGGGAUUAUUAUUUCUAGACAUGGUUGAGAAUUCAAUUUAGAUGUGCAAGAGGAGAUACUGCAUAUUUUGGUGGUGGUUGACGGGAUCGUUUCAAUCCCGUCGUACAGGAACAUACGUACGCCAUGCACGAUAUAAAUGAAAUAAAUAAAAUAAAAUAAUCAAUCGAUCGAUUCAUCCUUAUUUAAUCCGUCGAGGAUCGAAGAGAGGAUCAAACACCGGACGACCAAACAAUUCCGCCAUGGAAACCGAGCCAGUUUUUUUGGCGUAUGUUUUCUCGGCCGAUCGAUGGAAGCCGAGAUCCCAAGAAAACAAGGGGCCAAUUAACACGGAUGAUGGUUAAGGAGACGAAGGAUUCAACCAACUGUCCAAAACAGAUAUCUGACACGUUCCUUGCACCAGUUACCACGAUUCUCCGACACCGCCUAGAAUCUUCAUUGAUCGUCGCCCGCUUCGAAUUUCUAUGAGACCCGAUUAUGAUGAAAAGCUUCAACGUGUUUCGCGGAAGAAAUCCUCUUACGAAUUUAGGUUAUCUGGGAGGAAGAGGGAGGGGGAAAGAAAGAAGAAAAGAAAGAAAGAAAUUAAGAAAUCUCUCGAAUUUUAAACAAAGAAUUGACUUUUCUCGUCCUUCGAGUGUAAAUCCAAUAAAAAGCGCGUAAAUACUUUAAUAAAGAUAUCGUCGUCGAUUAAAUUUUAAAGGGAAACUUUUAAGGAUAAGUAAAUAUAAAUUAAAGGAAAUUGUAUUUCUUUAAAAAAAUUAUAAAAUAACGAUAUAUUUAUUCUACGCCAAGAAUCGAGAUCGUUGAAAGGGAAAAUAAUAAUCCUCGCAAAUAUAAUCGCAUUUCUGUCCUCGCUCCUUCCCCAGUCUCCAUCCAUCUUAGAACCGCAUACGAUGCAUUGUGAUACGGUUUCGUUUUCUUUCUACUUGAUAGAACCUCGAUCAAACGUUUUUCUACCAGCCUCGAGGAACUGUAGAAGAUAGACGUAGAAAAAUGAUGUACAUCCUCUUACGAUAUUACAGGGCAACUGUGACAAGAAGAAUAUAGAAAAAUUUACCACGUCAUGGGUCUCCACGCGAACGAAACGCAUUCGUCCAACGACUAGGCAGCUCUUACUUACUUCUCACUACCGCUUUGGAUUAUUGCACGUAACUGAAUUCCGAGAGCGUAACAAUAUCGAAUUGAUCGAGAUUAAUUCGAACGAGAAUAAAUAACAAAUGCACGGAAUCUAACUGUCUCGAUAUCUGAAUAUCACGUUCCUUCGAUUUUCUUCAAAAAUAUGCCACUCGUAUAUUUGCGCGAUGAAUUGGACGCUGUUUCGAUUUUUCUAACGCAACGCGACGUAAUAUGUACGAUUCAUUGUAGCAGAAAAUCGGUUUAAUUCCUAUUUCCUCGAUUAAAUAUAUUCUCAUUGUGUAUUCUUUAUCUUUAAUCAAAUCACAACCUUAAUUCUUCGAAUGGAAUCAAAUGGAAUCCCUUAAUGAAACAUUUUCCGAAUCAAGGGACGAAAAAGUUCUUGGAAGAAGCGUAACACGAGAAGAUCUCCUUUCGGAUCUUGUCAAUUGACGCCUAAGUCAAUUAUCCUGUGGACUCAUCCUGUGAAGACUCGUUUGAAAUCCGCUGAUUCAUAGCCUGUCUCUGCGCUUUAACAACUGCUAAGAGGUGACAUUUCUAAGGAGGAUUUAGCAUCCCCUUUCAAUUGUCAAUUCUGCCAGGAUCCGUGUUAAUGAUUCGACGCGAUUCUCGUUCGUUGUAUUCGUCAGUCGAGAAUAAAAAAAAAAAAGAAAAGGAGGCCAAAAAGUCUAAAUGAAUAAAUUUGUCCAGUCGCAUGUAAAUCGUAACUCGGACUCGAACAAGCAUUUUUAUAGCUGUAGUAUUUCUCUUCCUCCCUAUCGUUCACAGGAGUCGAUACAAGAUUUUUUUUUUUAUCGUUUCCAAUUAUUUUCUCGGUUUCACGUUGCUAGGAAGUAGGUCGUCCAUUAGUUGGUUAAUUGCAUUGUUUAUAGAUUUUUCCUUGACAGCGAUGGCAUGCGGAAAUAACGAAGAAGUAACAGUGAAGCAUCAUCGAUCGGGAUGCGUCAUUUUUUUUGUUUUUUAAUUUAUAAAAUCUUUAUUCAAUGGCGAAAUAUACUUUUAUUUUCGGGAAUAAAGGUAAGAUGAAAUUCGUUUUUUUUUUUUUUUUAAUAUCAAACACGAUUAUUCGCGAAAACGUUAAUUAAAAAAGUGAAAGAACGUGGAAUAUUGUUUGCAACGAUACCGUUUUAGAUCUUUAGAAGCCUCGAAAUUGCCUUGGAAAUUAUAUUAUUUAAUUACACGCCAUAUAAUCCACUAUGUAACGAAAUAAGAUCGAAUUAUAAUCUCCAAUAAACCCUGUAUGUAUCAAAACCCUAAGGAAAUUUGCAAGCUCGCAACAAAAUAAAGCGAAUGCAUCGAUCAUCUUCGCUGUAUCAUAGUCUCAACCGUGGUAUAAACGGACGCGAUAAAAAAAGAAAAAUGGGUAUCGAGGAAAAGGAAAAUAAUUUAAAAAAAAGAAAAAAUAUCGAAUUAAUUUCACCUUUGAAGUGAAAUAAAUAAUAAAUUCACAUCGAUUAAUCAUUCUUAUAUAUACGAUGCUCGUGGUAUUCGAAUUCGUCGAUUUGUACCACUGAAACUGGAAAUGGUGUACUCUUAUUUAUUCCACGCACGUAAAAGUUGUAUAAGAUGGUAUGCUCCUUUCGAUUCGUCUAUCGAUGCUUUGGAAAAUCUUGCCGAUGGACAACAGGAUUGGAUUAUCCAGAAAAGGACUGGGUGUAGUAGCGGCCAGCCGAGCGUGAACAGGAUACACGGGAGAAAGGGAUCCUUUUCUAUUCGUGUUUCGAGCACGUAUUUCGAGGAAUAAUAAGGUAAACGGUAAAAAGAAAAGGAAAAAAAAAAGAAGGAAAAAGAGUUUGAAACCUGUCACCCCGGAAAACAGGUUCCAACGUCUUUUGCCAUCAAAGGCACGAUGCAAACAACUGGCCUCGAGAGCAUACUUCACCGAACGCGUUAGUCAGUGGUACACCGGUCGAGAGAGCUUUAUAACGCACCGCGUUAGAACCGCCAACUUUCGAAAAAAGUCAACACUUUUCCUCUUUUUUCAACCAUCUCCACCACCAUAAUACGCCGUUUAUUUGUGCAAAGAUUUUCUUCUUUCUUUCUUUCUUUCUUUUUUUUACUUUCCCCUUCCUUCGUUGCGUUGUUAUCGAUUCUGAUGACAUUCGAAGGGAAGGGAAAGAGUUGGAAAUUUCAGUA